rnacentral:rRNA from 1 species
GUAAUUUGCAGAAGGUGCUUCGGGCGCGACGGCGGUCCAAGUUCCUUGGAAUCGGACGUCGAAGAGGGUGAGAAUCCCGUAUCCGGCCGAUCGUCGAGCCCGUGAGAAGCCCUUUCGACGAGUCGAGUUGUUUGGGAAUGCAGCUCCAAGCGGGUGGUAAAUUUCAUCUAAAGCUAAAUACCUGCCAGAGACCGAUAGCGCACAAGUAGAGUGAUCGAAAGAUGAAAAGCACUUUGAAAAGAGAGUCAAACAGCACGUGAAAUUGUUGAAGGGGAAGCGCUUGCAACCAGACUCGCACGCGGGGGCUCAGCCGUUCCUCGGGACGGUGCACUCCCCCGCGAUCGGGCCAGCAUCGGUUCCGGCGGCCGGACAAAGGCCCGGGGAAAGUAGCUCCCUCGCGGGAGUGUUAUAGCCCCGGGUGCAAUGCGGCCCGCCGGGACCGAGGACCGCGCUUUUGCUAGGAUGCUGGCGUAAUGGUUGCCAGCGACCCGUCUUGAAACACGGACCAAGGAGUCGACCGGCGACGCGAGUGUUCGGGCGUCAAACCCGGGCGCGCAAUGAAAGUGAACGGAGGUGGGAGCCCCCGGGCGCACCAUCGACCGAUCCUGAUGUCUUCGGAUGGAUUUGAGUACGAGCGCCGCCGGUCGGACCCGAAAGAUGGUGAGCUAUACGUGGAUAGGGUGAAGCCAGAGGAAACUCUGGUGGAGGCUCGCAGCGGUUCUGACGUGCAAAUCGAUCGUCAAAUCUGCGUAUAGGGGCGAAAGACUAAUCGAACCAUCUAGUAGCUGGUUCCUGUCGAAGUUUCCCUCAGGAUAGCAGCAACGAAAACAGUCUCAUGAGGUAGAGCGAACGAUUAGAGGCCUUGGGGCGGAAACCGCCUUAACCUAUUCUCGAACUUCGAAUAUGUGAGAAGUCCCUGUUACUUGAUUGAACGGGGACACUUGGAUGUGUCGUUGCUAGUGGGCCAUUUUUGGUAGCAAAGACUGGGCGAAAC